rnacentral:rRNA from 1 species
ACAUGAAGUUGGAAUCGCUAGUAAUACGCGAAUCAGAAUGUCGCGGUGAAUACUUCCCGGGUCUUGUACACACCGCCCGUCACACCACGAGAGUUUACAACACCCGAAGUCAGUGGCCUAACCGCAAGGAGGGAGCUGCCUAAGGUGGGGUAGAUGAUUGGGGUGAAGUCGUAACAAGGUAAC